AUUUUCCGUUAGGGGUUCUUUUUGAAAUUAUAGAUUUCAAGAGGAUGAGAAAGACCCUUAAGACCUGAUCCAGAUAAUGCUGGCGGAGGGAAACGGACAAACCUUAAA
rnacentral:ncRNA from 2 species